UUCACUGCAGCAUAAUGUUUCAAGCUUCCAGAGAAAUGCUGGACAUAUCUUACAAAAUAAGGUCAAGACCAAAGAUUGUUCUGCAUUUAUCUCUCCUCUUUGUGCUAGAUUCAAGGGAUACAUACGGAUGAUCAUGUGAGGCCAUCACCAAAAGUCAUAGACUGAGUCAUCACUGUUGUUACACAAAGCUGCAAAAAAUAUAGUACUGGAACAUUAGUAAAACAGUUAAAACGAGUAAAAGGGUGUUCCAAACUAAGGUGUACUAGCCGACCAAAUGCACUAGGACAAGGGAAUGUGAGAUUCACUAUCAUCCAGACAGCAGCUGUACGUAACCUGCUAUCACUACACUGCAAGAUCUUGAUCAUGAAAGAUUGGGCUCAAUUAUCUGCUCGGACAAGAAGUUGCUGCAUAACUAUUUCCUUGUGAAAAUCAUUUCCACGUUGCCAAGAAGAUAAAUUCCCUGCAUGAUAAGAAUUUUAAUUAUCUAUUAGCAAUCUAUAAACAGCAUUGUACUGUAAAUUCCCCCGAGACCCACUUUUUUCUUGCAUGGUUUCAAUCAUGAUUGGCAGAAACAAUAGUUGCACAAUAUGUUACCUUUCCCAAUGCUCUUCAUCAUUCAAAAAAUAGACAGAAUAAACAUAGAAACCAAAUUAAAUCAUCCAGCAUAUAGUUGUAGGCACAUGUCAGAAAUGUUUUGUUAAUAUAAACCAGUCUUUUUUCCCCAGCCGACAUUUUACUGAGCUUACUUGAUAAACGACGUUUUUACUUGCAUAUCAACAAUCUUCACAUGGAAAUGCAAAAGUUCAUCUGGAUGAUAGAGCUGGGAUUUGCCCUCACCCCAGAGUUCACAGAUUAAUACCCGCUGACCAUAAAAGACCACCAACCAUCACACAGCAAGAUAAUUAACCUCCUUAUGUUUAAUAACUAAUGCACCAUGGUCUCUCUGAGAUUUCUUGCUAAUAUUAGGAAAGGUAUAUCUUCAUGCGGCCAUGUUUGUUUUUAUCAAUGAUGUCAAGACUUUCUUAUAAACAACAAAUUCCAUGUAGAAUGCAAGUUGUUUGUGCUCCUGUAUGUUCAUUAUCCAUCAACAAUACAGUAGCUUGUAUUGUUUAAUUUCUAACUAUGCAUGUCUAAACUUUCAAUAUGGAACUUGCAAUCUUCAAGCUUGCCAGCCUCUACCUUCAAUGGAAAAUCAUUAAUGUGCCUUAAAAUAUGAAACAACUAUGAUGAUUAGCGAAGCGAGCAAGAAUAUCAAAAGUUUUAAUAUGUGACAGCCCUGCGAGAAGUUUCUUUUCAUGAUCAAUGCUAAGGAUAUGGAAAGAGCACCUCAAUUUAACAUCAAGUUACUGUUUUCUUUUCUGAUAAAUCUGAUGCCGUGGUGACAAUCUCAAGUGAACAUCAAGUUACAGUUUUAUUUUUGAUAAAUCAGAAACAGUGAUGACAUUUGAAAAAGAAACAAACGAAGAAGAAACCUUUUGAAAUGAAUACAUAUAAUAAUGAAUGUAAGAACACAUAAUAAUAGAUGUGGUGGAUGUACAUGCAAGAAUUGCUGGGAAUUCUGAUCAGUGAUCUUCUAAUAGUUACCCAUUGGAAACUAAGUACACUGACACAAUAUUUAACAUGGUUCGGCAAAUCACUUACAUCCACGGGAAAAGCCAUUUGAUUAUAUAGGAAAACAACAAGAUUUACAACAA